GAGAACCGCAGUGCCUGCUGGGAACAACAAACUCGAGCGCCAUCUUGCCUGGCAACGACUAAGGAGGGCGAAUUAAGGAGCUGUUUAAAUGCUUUUUAAACGCAAAUAGAGUUGUUUCAGUUGUUUGCAUUGGUCGUUUAUUGUAAGUCCAGAGUUAGAAGAGCAGCAGUUGGACGGGAGUCUGCAUUGUGGUUCACAUUUCAGCCGUAAGACUGGUCAUCAUGGGCCGCUCACGCAGCCGAAGCACGUCUCGGUCUAAACACUCAAAAAGCAGCAAGCACAGCAAGAAACGGAGCCGGUCCCGGUCCAGAGACAGGGAGCGGUCCAAGAAACGAUCCAAGUCCCGGGAGUCUAAGAAAAACCGGCGCAGAGAGUCCCGCUCCCGAUCCAGGUCCACCACAGCCUCGUCCCGCAGAGAGCGAGCAGCCUCUCCCCCGGAGAGGAUCGACAUCUUCGGCAGGACUCUGAGUAAAAGGACCGCUCUGGACGAGAAGCAGAGGAAGGAAGAGGAGGAGAGAAAGGCAGAGAUGGAGAGACAGAGGAAAAUCCGCCAGCAGGAGAUCGAGGAGAAGCUGAUCGAGGAGGAGACGGCCCGGCGGGUGGAGGAGCUGGUGGCCAAGCGGGUGGAGGAGGAGCUGGAGAAGCGGAAGGACGAGAUAGAGCGGGAGGUGCUGCGGCGCGUGGAGGAGGCCAAGCGCAUCAUGGAGCGGCAGCUGCUGGAGGAGCUGGAGCGGCAGCGGCAGGCCGAGCUGGCGGCGCAGAAGGCCAGAGAGGUAACGCUCGGUCGUUUGGGAUGCACCCCCGUCUCUUUCUGCCUCCACCCACCGUCCUCCGCUUUCAGUCCCCAACAAAUUAUUGGAGUUUUGCUGCUUUCAAACACACAGGAUGAGGGAGGAACACAAGCAGCAGAGGUUUCUCUUUGCAGCUGACAUUAAAACAGCAGCAAGUUAGAAACUGUAGAGCAAGAAGACAAACAUUCUCUCUGAUUUCGACAUUGUGCAGCAGCGACUGACACAUAUGACAUAUUUUUAUUAGCAAAACUGAUUAUUAAAAACAUGAUUAUAUGAAACGUUAACCUCACUCUAACCCAGAUCCUGUUGCUAUUUAACUGCAGAAGUUAAAUAGCAACCUCUGUUGCGAUAGUAAUGUUACAAUAAUGCAGAUUAUUCCUAGUAGGUUUGACUGUUUCUCCAUCUUUGUUAAGAUACUAAAUUAUAGUUUUGGUUGUUAAUCAUAUUUACUCAGUAAAAACUUGUUCCCAGUUUAGCUAAAUUAUUUUUUGUUUAAUUAAUCACACCAACAAACGUAUCCCUGCAAAGCUCAGACAUGAUUUAAAUCAUAUUAUUUUUUACCUCUGUUUGUUUGCAGCAGCAAACCCGAUGAAGGAUUUAUUUUUUAAAUUCUCUGAAUAAUUAAAUGUAGACGCACAACGUCAGGACGUCCAGUAAUAUUGUUGAAUGUGUUUCCUGAACUCCUCGGGAAUGAAAAUUUUACCCACAAAUAAUGUUUUAAUAAUCUACUGUCAUCGCAAUGUUGCUCUCUGGUUCAUUUGUUACAAUUUUAAUACUUUUUUUUUAUUUUAUUUUACUGGAAUCACAAGUAGGAGUUGAGAUUAACUUGAUUUAUCUGGUCAGCCUAUUUGACAGUCUAAACAUAAAAAUGAUUUGCGCCUCUCCUUUUCUUUCUACACCAUGACUAGCUGAACAUGUCGGCCUAAAUAAGUUGUGAUUUUUGUAUUUAAAAAAUUCAUAAUUAAUUCAAUAAUUGUAUACAUUUACAUUAUUUUAAACAAUAUCAGAAGUCCAGGUGGUUGAGGUGAAUGUGUGGGGCCCACAAAACGUCUGGAUUGAGGAAAACUGCCUCAAAGUUUCAUUGUCAUUAAACUUGAGAUAUCUGCUGAAACAAACGUGAUCGGCUUCUAAUCUCUUUACUAUAGUAGCAGAGGCUAACAUGAUUAGCUCCUGCUAAUAGUGUUAGCUGGAGUUAACAUGAUUAGCUCUACUUUAAAAACUAAAACACCAAGACUCUUAACAACGCUAGCAGGAUCCAACACAAUUGGCUUCAGUAAACUUGAGUAGCAAGAGUUUCACACGACAUGAUUAGCAGGAGCCAGCAGAAUUAGCUGUAGCUAGAAAAAGUAGUAGGAGCUAAAACAAUUAGCAGGAGCCAAAAACAUUAGUUGGAGCUAACAACAUUAGCUGGAGCUAGCACGAUUACCAGGAGCUAAAGCCACUAGCUGGAGCUAAUGCUGAGUAAGAACAAAUUGGAAGAUAAUUAAAUGAUGUUUAAAUGAAAUUUCUUUGUUGCACAUCAUCCUAAUAUAUUUGAGAAAAUAUUUCAAUCCUGCUGUUUACCGUAAACAUUUUAGUUAGAAGCUAAAGUUCGCCUCUGAUUGGACCUUUCUAUUUGGGAAAUAGCUAACGGUCGAUUCCACUUAAUGUUUCGCUACCAUGAUCGUCUUUAAUGAGCUCUACUUUAAAAACUAAAACAAAAAGACACGUCCGGCCUGUUCCAGAUUAUUCUGCACUUUGACUUCUGGCCUUCUGCUUAGCUACGUUUUUUUAUUUUUUUUCAUUUUCAGAAUCGGAAGCUAACUUUAGCUUCGCGUUAGCAUUUUCAAACACUGUUUCAACGAGCUUCGGUUCAAAUCAACAGACCUGAAUGUUACUCAAUGGACAGAAACGUAGCUUCUAGCAUAUGUCGUCGACCUAAGCAGCGUUGCAGUGCAAUAAAACGAGGGGAUGUAAUAAUUCAGUAUAAAAGGUUCCUCCUCCUUUCUCUCUUCCCGUUCUGUCUCUACUUGGUUUCCUCAUCAGAAAAGUUCGGGAAAACCCGACCGGAUCCGUGUGGAAAUGUUCAUCCCAUCUGACUCACAGACGGUUUAUCCCUUCAGGUUCUCGGCGGCUAUCCGAUGGUUUUAUCUGAUGAUAUGAAUUAAUAUCUUUCUGACUGGUUAUUUCCCACAGUUUGAUGUUUCUUUUGGUUUCUAUUGUACCAUAACUUGCUUCUCCCAUAGGGUGGCUGCUCGGUGUCAUUCUGUUGAUGUGUUUUAUUUAUAUAUAUUUUUUAUUAUUUUUUGUUGUUGUUUUUCGGACACACACCUCACCACCUUCCUAACUAGCUCUUGACCCGAGCUGGCGCUGCAGCCUUUCAGCUCACCUGUGACUUGUGUCCUGUUACUGUAAGUGUGCCGUGGUCGGGUCCUCCUCGAACACACACACACACACACACACCUUGUGCAGCAGCUCUCUACAGAGACAACAAAAAGCCCCACAGAGAGAGCGCUAAAGCAGAUUUGACUUAUAAAGAGGAGCGCGCCAUAUUCGACCCCAGGAGCGCCUCUCUGUCUCUGCAGGGGCCGCGGUCCGGACGGGACAGUAAAUAUUCAGCCGUUUAUUGCCGAAUGCGUUCACCAGUUGUGUAGGUACACAGGCAAGGAAAAUGCGUAGGUAUACGUUCAUUGGUGAGCCAAAACUCUUCCCUCCUUCUUCUUCUUCUCUCUUGCAUUUGAUGAUGUUAAAAGCAGCAGAUGUAUUUUUUCUCUAGUCUAUGUUUCUGUCCUCUGAAUGUGAUGAAUGUGUUUGUGGUUUUUGUUUUUUGUAAACUUUAAAAUAACAGAGUAGGUGUGAAUUAGACAUUUGAAUUCUUCCAGGAAGAGAUUUGAAGUAGUCGAGGGAGGCGUUCACGUCUCCGCUCAGUUUCUUUAUGUUUGUAGAAAACAAUUCAGGCUGACUGAAGAGACUUUCUGUGGUGGAGUGACUGACUGGCUGAGUGUGUGUGUGUGUGAGAAAGAGAGAGUGUGUGUGUGUGCUUUGUGACUUUUUCAUGCGCUAACAUGGCACCAUGUCACCCAUCCAGGAGGAAGAGAAAUCCAAGCGGGAGGAGCUGGAAAAAAUCCUGGAGGAGAAUAACCGCAAGAUCGCCGAGGCGCAGGCCAAGCUGGCCGAGGAGCAGCUACGGAUCGUGGAGGAGCAGAGAAAGAUCCACGAGGAGCGCAUGAAGCUGGA